GACGCUAGUGCGGUGCCCCGCGCGGCGGAGGGGCCCGGGCCGCGGAAUCUGCGCACUGAGACGUCGGCGGAAGGCUAGAGGCCGUGCUCUCGCCACCGCAGAAGGCCACCACUCCUUGAGAAGGCCGGAGGGACAAAGCACCGGGCCUGCGCCGGGGGCAUUCAAGAAGGAAGCCAGGCCCGACCGGGGGGUGGCGCACGCUUCCCGAACCCCAGGCCCACGGCCCGGUUCCGCGCGGGCAGUUGGCGCCCCCUCGGGUCGGCACAGCAGACCUCUUAGUAAUGGUCCCCAGGAAGUGUGAGUGGGUCCCCGCCAAUCUUUUAAGGUUCAGAGAUCCACCGUCGAACGAAGCCGCUUUUACAACUUCCCCAUUUAGCCUCUUUCCUCGCCCCCCCGCUGGCUAAAGCGCUGAACCUUGCCAUCCUCCUGGGGUGCCUAACGAUUUGCCCUGCCUUGGACAGCCAGUCCUCUUCAGGUGGUGGGCUGCUGGUAGGGGUAGGAAGCAAGGCCUGGGGCACAGCUGGGGACCCUCACACCUGAUUUUCUGUUUUAAGGAGGAACUGGGUUUCAAGAAGCUGUAGAGUCAGUGGGAGUUUCCUUUUGUGGCCCUUGGCACUUUUUAAAACACCCAUCUGCAAGGCGGGAACAGCGGAGAAAGUGCUAUGUAGUUCAUAAAAAAGAUAUUGGGAGACUGUUAUCUUAAGAGUUUUUCUAGAGAUUGUUUUGUAAUCUGUCAGUUUAGAGAGUUGAUAUGUCCCGCGCCAUCAGCCCGCUGAAUGGGAUCUUCCUUCAGACAGGGACUGAGAAACGGAAAUACUACCAUCCUCCAGCCAAUCUGUUGGGAGGACUGCUUGCAGAGGACUCGUGCUCCAGAUGUUGCACUAGAGGCGCUGCAAGUGUGAGCAGCAGGUAGAUGAAACUCAAGAGAAAAGGUGUGGAUAAAUGAAACUAGCCCAUGAUGAACCUGUUUUCUCCAUGACCACAAUAUUAACCAGGAUGAUGGCGGUGGCAGUGGGCCUGCAUCACAGGUUGCAGCAGAUGUUCUCAAUAUUUCUAUUAAAAUUUCCUUAUUUCCAUAUGCAAGAGGAGCCCCAGAGCUGCAUCCUUAUGGUAGCUACCAUGCCGUGAUGUAAGCUGCCAUUCACUGGGGAGCUUUGGCAAUAGAAUUGGCUAGAUCAGCAAGCCCAUGUCAACUAUGGAACAACAACUUGCAGCUCAUCUCUAUUGAUGAUACACUGCCUCUAGGACUGGGACAGAUAGCCACUGAGUACCUGCUUCAAAUCACCCUGCACGUUUUCUCUUUGGAAAGAUAAGCACUGGAGAACCAUCUCGUUACCUUCAGCAAAAAUGGAAACAAAUCAAGACAUUAAGAAUGCCACAGUGGACAGCAGUUAUGCAAGGUUCAGCAGAGGAAGUUUUCAAGAUGGUGUGCCUCACUAGCCAGAAAUCAGAAAAGAUCGAAGCUAGCCUUUUCAUCUCAGCUGCUCCUUAAAUCAGUGCAACCCCUCCAAAUUAAUGUGAAUUGAAACAUGCAUUGCUUUUCAACUUAAUUGAAUACUUACUAUAUGUGAACCACUGCACAAAAUAGGGGAAGAAGAUGUGGGAGACAAAGAUGUGGAGCCUGUCUUCAAUAAAUUUACAGUUAGUUUCAGGGUACAUUGUUUUUCUUCUGCUGUUAAUUAGGUGUAUCCCCAAGACAAUAAAUACAUGAAUGGAAAAGUAUAUUCUGUGUUUUAAGUCUCUUUAAUAAAAAACAAAACAAAAUCCAAAAAAACUCCUAACAUGGCAACUCAGGACAUUUUAAUCCUUUUUUUUGUUGUUGGGCUUCUGAUAGGAUCCAUUUUAUUGAUUCCAUAAAUAUUUAGUAGACUUUAGACAUAUUAAUACAUUGUAGUUUGAGUUAAUUUGCAUUAAAUUCUGUUUUUUCCCCCUUAGGUAUAGAUUGUCUGUUGGAAAAAUAUAUUGCUUGUGGAUUUCUUGGGGAGUGGGAAGGUGAAUUAUACCUGUUGUCUCUACAGUCCACUACCUUCCACGCCCUAGGGCAGUGGUCCCCAACCUUCUUGGCACCAGGGAUCAGUUUCCUGGAAAUCAAUUUUUCUGUGGAUGGUGUGGGGAUGGUUUUGGGAUGGAACUGUUCCACCUCAGAUCAUCAGGCAUUAGUUAGGCUCUCAUAACGAGUGCGCAGCCUAGAUCCCUCACAUGCACAGUUCACAGUAGGCUUUGCGCUGCUAUGAGAAUCUAAGGCUGCCACUGAUCUGACAGGAGGCAGAACUCAGGUGGCAAUGCUUACUGGCCCACUGCUCACCUCUUGCUGUGCGGCCUGGUUCCUAAUAGGCCAUGGACCCCCACAGACUGGUACUAGUCUGCAGCUUGUGGACCCCAGCCCUAGGGGCCUGCCAUUCUGAGUGAGUUAUUAGCAUGAAGAAGAGGAAGAUCUGGAUCAUACGUGGGUGAUGGUUCUCAGAGACCCAAGAUAGGAUAGGGAUGGAACAAAAUCCAUCUGGGCAACGGCUCUAUGAAAAUUUGGCUAAGUAAUUAUUUCAGUAUUCAUUGUAUUCAUUGGCCUUCGUGUUCCAUAAGUUAAAUGACUGUCUAAUUUUUCCAAAAAUUUAUUUCUGACUUGAGAAUAAGUGUGUCAUGAUUUUCCCAGUGUAAAGACACUGAUAUAACUGUAGAUACCAGACAUUUUAUGUAGUGUCUGUGACACAUUUUAGUAUGUAUGAGCCAACAAUAGACAUGUCUUUGUCUUGAGGAGUGUCCAUCUGAAUUGAAAAUGUGUCAGCUUUUUUUUAACAUCAUCAACAGACUUCUUAAUUAAGCUGCCAAUACAUACUGCCAAUAGCACUGUGUGCUGUCUGAGAAAUGCAUUGUGUAAGUGCUAUUUCCAUCUUAUUAAAUAAACAAUGUUGCUCUGUAUAAACUGGAUUUAAAGUGUUCUUUGAAUGAGGCAUUAUAUUGCUCCAUAAAUAAUGUGAUGUGAAUUCUCAUAUGAUCCCUUUUAACUUAAUUUCUAAAAAAAAUAUUAUUUGCUCCUCAGUAAGGAAUAGCUCUAAUUGGACUGGUAACUUUAGUGAUAUGAUUUGUCUGUAACAGGCUGAAUCGCCCCACUCCCAAACUCCUGGUCGUGAUACUGGAUAUUUGUUAUGCCACUUUUAGUUUGCAUGAGGUAUCUUCCAGGAAGUCUUAGUUAUUAACUUGUGUUAUACUAAACUGUAGAUAUUUAUUUCCUGUUCUGGAAGAUUUCUUGGAGGGUCCAUCUGUGCAUUCCUGGUGCCUAGUGUAGUCUUGCUAAUGGAAUAGCACCUUUAUUGGUGCUACUUUAGGGGUUGGUAGCUUACAAUCAAUCUACUUAGAACGUAUCCAAAUAAACUGGAUAUUUUUAU
rnacentral:antisense_RNA from 1 species